rnacentral:rRNA from 1 species
GACGAACGCUGGCGGCGUGCUUAACACAUGCAAGUCGAACGUGAUUUUUGUGGAAAUUCUUUCGGGAAUGGAAAUGAAAUGAAAGUGGCGAACGGGUGAGUAACACGUGAGCAACCUACCUUACACAGGGGGAUAGCCGUUGGAAACGACGAUUAAUACCGCAUGAGACCACAGAAUCGCAUGAUAUAGGGGUCAAAGAUUUAUCGGUGUAAGAAGGGCUCGCGUCUGAUUAGCUAGUUGGAAGGGUAAAGGCCUACCAAGGCGACGAUCAGUAGCCGGUCUGAGAGGAUGAACGGCCACAUUGGAACUGAGACACGGUCCAAACUCCUACGGGAGGCAGNNGUGGGGAAUAUUGNACAANGGGGGGAACCCUGNUGCNNNNACGCCGCGUGAGCGAAGAAGGUUUUCGAAUCNAAAANCUCUG